UUCUUUCUUCAUAGAUUUGUACAGCCAAGAAUAGGAUUCCAUCACCCCGAGGAUGCUCAGUGUCAAAUGUUUGAAUAUGGCAGCCGUAAAACGUUGGUGAACUCAAGAAAUAAGAGAUGGGAAACCCAAAUAUACUUGCCUUAAAGUCAUUGUGGAAGUCGUGUGAUUUCAGGUGAAGGCAGGUACUCUGGAGUCCCUGACCACAGAAAGACCUGUUCAGGAUGUAGAAGCAGGCACCAAGGCCAUCAGUGGUGACAAGGUGGGUGCCCAUGUGGUAGAGCAGCAGGGCAUUUAUAACUUGGACUCAGUUGGAUUAACAUGC